GGUUAAGCGACUAAGCGUACACGGUGGAUGCCCUGGCAGUCAGAGGCGAUGAAGGACGUGCUAAUCUGCGAUAAGCGUCGGUAAGGUGAUAUGAACCGUUAUAACCGGCGAUUUCCGAAUGGGGAAACCCAGUGUGUUUCGACACACUAUCAUUAACUGAAUCCAUAGGUUAAUGAGGCGAACCGGGGGAACUGAAACAUCUAAGUACCCCGAGGAAAAGAAAUCAACCGAGAUUCCCCCAGUAGCGGCGAGCGAACGGGGAGCAGCCCAGAGCCUGAAUCAGUAUGUGUGUUAGUGGAAGCGUCUGGAAAGGCGCGCGAUACAGGGUNNNNNNNNNNNNNNNNNNNNNNNNNNNNNUGUGAGCUCGAUGAGUAGGGCGGGACACGUGGUAUCCUGUCUGAAUAUGGGGGGACCAUCCUCCAAGGCUAAAUACUCCUGACUGACCGAUAGUGAACCAGUACCGUGAGGGAAAGGCGAAAAGAACCCCGGCGAGGGGAGUGAAAAAGAACCUGAAACCGUGUACGUACAAGCAGUGGGAGCACGCUUAGGCGUGUGACUGCGUACCUUUUGUAUAAUGGGUCAGCGACUUAUAUUCUGUAGCAAGGUUAACCGAAUAGGGGAGCCGAAGGGAAACCGAGUCUUAACUGGGCGUUAAGUUGCAGGGUAUAGACCCGAAACCCGGUGAUCUAGCCAUGGGCAGGUUGAAGGUUGGGUAACACUAACUGGAGGACCGAACCGACUAAUGUUGAAAAAUUAGCGGAUGACUUGUGGCUGGGGGUGAAAGGCCAAUCAAACCGGGAGAUAGCUGGUUCUCCCCGAAAGCUAUUUAGGUAGCGCCUCGUGAAUUCAUCUCCGGGGGUAGAGCACUGUUUCGGCAAGGGGGUCAUCCCGACUUACCAACCCGAUGCAAACUGCGAAUACCGGAGAAUGUUAUCACGGGAGACACACGGCGGGUGCUAACGUCCGUCGUGAAGAGGGAAACAACCCAGACCGCCAGCUAAGGUCCCAAAGUCAUGGUUAAGUGGGAAACGAUGUGGGAAGGCCCAGACAGCCAGGAUGUUGGCUUAGAAGCAGCCAUCAUUUAAAGAAAGCGUAAUAGCUCACUGGUCGAGUCGGCCUGCGCGGAAGAUGUAACGGGGCUAAACCAUGCACCGAAGCUGCGGCAGCGACGCUUAUGCGUUGUUGGGUAGGGGAGCGUUCUGUAAGCCUGUGAAGGUGUGCUGUGAGGCAUGCUGGAGGUAUCAGAAGUGCGAAUGCUGACAUAAGUAACGAUAAAGCGGGUGAAAAGCCCGCUCGCCGGAAGACCAAGGGUUCCUGUCCAACGUUAAUCGGGGCAGGGUGAGUCGACCCCUAAGGCGAGGCCGAAAGGCGUAGUCGAUGGGAAACAGGUUAAUAUUCCUGUACUUGGUGUUACUGCGAAGGGGGGACGGAGAAGGCUAUGUUGGCCGGGCGACGGUUGUCCCGGUUUAAGCGUGUAGGCUGGUUUUCCAGGCAAAUCCGGAAAAUCAAGGCUGAGGCGUGAUGACGAGGCACUACGGUGCUGAAGCAACAAAUGCCCUGCUUCCAGGAAAAGCCUCUAAGCAUCAGGUAACAUCAAAUCGUACCCCAAACCGACACAGGUGGUCAGGUAGAGAAUACCAAGGCGCUUGAGAGAACUCGGGUGAAGGAACUAGGCAAAAUGGUGCCGUAACUUCGGGAGAAGGCACGCUGAUAUGUAGGUGAAGCGACUUGCUCGUGGAGCUGAAAUCAGUCGAAGAUACCAGCUGGCUGCAACUGUUUAUUAAAAACACAGCACUGUGCAAACACGAAAGUGGACGUAUACGGUGUGACGCCUGCCCGGUGCCGGAAGGUUAAUUGAUGGGGUCAGCGCAAGCGAAGCUCUUGAUCGAAGCCCCGGUAAACGGCGGCCGUAACUAUAACGGUCCUAAGGUAGCGAAAUUCCUUGUCGGGUAAGUUCCGACCUGCACGAAUGGCGUAAUGAUGGCCAGGCUGUCUCCACCCGAGACUCAGUGAAAUUGAACUCGCUGUGAAGAUGCAGUGUACCCGCGGCAAGACGGAAAGACCCCGUGAACCUUUACUAUAGCUUGACACUGAACAUUGAGCCUUGAUGUGUAGGAUAGGUGGGAGGCUUAGAAGUGUGGACGCCAGUCUGCAUGGAGCCGACCUUGAAAUACCACCCUUUAAUGUUUGAUGUUCUAACGUGGACCCGUGAUCCGGGUUGCGGACAGUGUCUGGUGGGUAGUUUGACUGGGGCGGUCUCCUCCUAAAGAGUAACGGAGGAGCACGAAGGUUGGCUAAUCCUGGUCGGACAUCAGGAGGUUAGUGCAAUGGCAUAAGCCAGCUUGACUGCGAGCGUGACGGCGCGAGCAGGUGCGAAAGCAGGUCAUAGUGAUCCGGUGGUUCUGAAUGGAAGGGCCAUCGCUCAACGGAUAAAAGGUACUCCGGGGAUAACAGGCUGAUACCGCCCAAGAGUUCAUAUCGACGGCGGUGUUUGGCACCUCGAUGUCGGCUCAUCACAUCCUGGGGCUGAAGUAGGUCCCAAGGGUAUGGCUGUUCGCCAUUUAAAGUGGUACGCGAGCUGGGUUUAGAACGUCGUGAGACAGUUCGGUCCCUAUCUGCCGUGGGCGCUGGAGAACUGAGGGGGGCUGCUCCUAGUACGAGAGGACCGGAGUGGACGCAUCACUGGUGUUCGGGUUGUCAUGCCAAUGGCACUGCCCGGUAGCUAAAUGCGGAAGAGAUAAGUGCUGAAAGCAUCUAAGCACGAAACUUGCCCCGAGAUGAGUUCUCCCUGACUCCUUGAGAGUCCUGAAGGAACGUUGAAGACGACGACGUUGAUAGGCCGGGUGUGUAAGCGCAGCGAUGCGUUGAGCUAACCGGUACUAAUGAACCGUGAGGCUUAACCUU
rnacentral:rRNA from 1 species